GGGUUAGUAGCUUAAGAGGUAAAGUACUUUCCUGUCACGAAAGAUUAUGUCGGUUCGAUGCCGGCCUAACCCG
rnacentral:tRNA from 1 species